UACACGGAGACAGAGUGGCCGGCUGGUAGCUGCGAGCGAGUGUAUGUGAGGAGCGCCCUCUGCUGGCAGAGCCGGGUCAUAGCAUGCAGGCUCCCGGGAAGGAUGGCAUGUGAGGGACGCUGGCUGAAAGAAUCAUCGCCUGAUUCCGAUUUCUGCCGGAAAUAUAUGUAGCUACACCGACACCUAUUGGAUUAAGAAAUGAAGAUGACCCCAGAUGGGGAAAAAAACACUAAUAGAACAGGAAUUUAACAAAAACUUGAGCGAUAACAAAGAGGUAA